rnacentral:antisense_RNA from 1 species
UCUUUUCUAAAACAAGAUGAGAAUCCAGCGUAUUUGAGUGGUAACCUUUUUGAUUCUAUAGUUUCAUCUUUAUGUAAAGCACAUAAUGGUUGUUCUGAGGUAG